rnacentral:misc_RNA from 1 species
GAUGAAGAACGUAGCGAAAUGGGAUAAGUAAUGUGAAUUGCAGAAUUCAGUGAAUCAUCGAGUUUUUGAACGCAUAUUGCGCCCUCUGGUAUUCCGGGGGGCAUGCCUGUUCGAGCGUCAUUAAAUAACCCUCAAGCAUAGCUUGGUGUUGGGCUUUUUUACGUCCUUGACUGGGAUGGGCCUAAAAAUUAGUGGCGAUGGCUUUUUUACUUUCAAGCGUAGUAAAUCUCGCCUUGCUAAAGAGGAAAAAGAUUUUUUUUCUGCCAAAAAUUUUAACAUUUAAAGUUGACCUCGGAUCAGGUAGGAUUACCCGCUGAACUUAAGCAUAUCAAUAAGCGGAGGA